GAGAGAAUGGGGCCUAACCGGCCUCACCUCUUCACCCGUGUUUAUCGAAACAAAUGUUGCUUUGGCGGGCCAGGGCCAUGUCCCUGGGCGGGCUCAUCCCCACUCAGCGCCCGCCAGAGGCCCUAUCAAACCCUGUGAUCAGUGUCGUCCGAGUAAAAAACAAGAAUAAACUAAAACUUUCAACAACGGAUCUCUUGGUUCC
rnacentral:misc_RNA from 1 species